ACAGCUGUCUGGUUGGACUUAAGGUCUAUUCAACAGGAAGGGCAUCACGUCUGGUACUGGAAACCUAGCCAGCUUCCCUGUGGUGGUGAAGUCAUGGACUUUUAGAGAAUAAUCCACUACCACUGUCAUUUUUCUGGACCAGAACAAUUUCUUCCCACAUUCUAAAUUUUAUCCUUAUAAUUACAGAUGAGUGUAACUACCACCCUUCAUCAAAGAAGCUUCUCUUCAGAGCAAGUGGAGGCCAUCACAGAAAACCACAACUGUACACAGUGCAGAGAUUAACGGGUUGUGGAGAGCCCCAAUGGAUAAGUCUACAUCAUAGUUGGUUGUGCCUCAGGGAACAGGGAAGGUGGGGCAGUAAGACUCUAAAAGCCAGAAUUCAAGAAAGCCUGCAAAAAACCUCUUGUACUAACAUGCGAGGGGGUAAUUUUGUAGAGUCGCACCUCUAAACAAAAGCCUAUAGCUUUUAAAUAUUAGAAUGGUUUCUUUAUGCCAGUUAUAGCUGUUAAUGUAGGAGCUCAGAAUUUUUCAAAAUGCAGAGAAUAAAUAUCUGCAGGAUGUUCAGCCACAAACAUGACAUCUAUAUCACGCCUCCUACUAAGGCCCAGGAGCCAUUGUGGAGGAGCAGCCAGAGGUUGGGAAGCAUCAGAGGCAAACAGUAUGUUUUUUACUUGCUAGAACUACAGAAUUCAUAAAUUCACAGCAAUAUAGUUGCCUGCACAAGAUCAAACCAGUAUUGCAACAUGGGUGUGUGAAAGGGUCAUAAGUUCCCACUCAUAGCUACUGAUAAUUGCUAUCUGUUGAGGUAGGAAGAGUUGGUUUUCUUUAAGGGUGUAGUCCCUGGUAGGUCCACCAUACUCCAGUGGAUGUCCCCACAAAGAUGAGUUUAUGGGCAGUACAAAAUGGAAUUUGUACUGUCAAACAAACACCUACACACAGACACACAGACACACAGACACACACACACACACACACACACACACACACACACACGAGGACAGGAAGUUGAGAGGGAUUGGGAAGAGUGUGAGUUGAAUAUGAUCUGUACACAUUGUAUGCAUAUAUAAGAAUCUCAGCUCUUGCUUUCCUGUUCUCUCUUGCUCUUGCUUUCCCUUUCUCCUUCUCUCUCCACGUGCUUAUGCCUGGCCUCUCCCCCCUCCUCCUCCUCCUCCUGUUCCUUCUCCUCCCGUUCCUCCUGUUCCUUCUGUUCCUCCUCCUCCUACUCUUCCUCCUUUUCUUUUUUUUUUUGGUGUUUUUUUUUUAUUUUAUUUUUUUUAUUAACUUGAGUAUUUCUUAUAUACAUUUCAAGUGUUAUUCCCUUUCCCGGUUUCCGGGCAAACAUCCCCCUCCCCCCUCCCCUUCCUUAUGGGUGUCCCCCUCCCAACCCUCCCCCCAUUGCCGCCCUCCCCCCAUAGUCUAGUUCACCUCUUCCUCCUUUUCUUCUUCUCCCCCCUUUCUCUUCCUUUCUCUGCCCAUACUACCCCAUUAACUCUCUUCCCUAUGUUUAAUUAAAACAUCACGGUUUAAAGUUAGGAAACACGGGUCUGGAGACAUGGUUCAGCAAUUAAGAGAAUUGUCUGCUCUUCCAGAGGACUAGAGUUCAAAUCUCAGCAUCCCCUUCACACAAACACAUGUAGACACAAUGCCAAUGAACAUAAAAUACCAAUGCAAAUCUCUGCCUCCAUGUCUGGUCCCAUGACAUUCUUUCCUUAUAUGUUUUCUUAUCAUGGAAUCUUUCUCCUUCCUCAUAAAGGUCUCCAGUCACAUUGGCUUUAGGACCAUCCAUAACAACAUCUGUGGAAACUAUCUUCUGCUUAAAUCACUUCGGGGGCCAGCAAGAUGGCUAAGCAGGUGAAGGAACCAAUUCUGAUGGUCUGAAUUCUAUCCUUGAGACUCCUAUGAAAGCAAGCCGGAAGACACUAGCCCAGCUAUCACACUGAUGACACAGUGCUGGUCUGACCACCAAGACUUACCGUAGAACCAGGCCACCCCAAUGGCUUCAAUGAGCACGCCAAAGAGGAUAGAUGUGCCAGCUGCAAAGUGGUCCAGCAGUGUGAAGACGUAGAUGCCACCCUGGAAGAGAGGGGAUCUUAGUGAGCUUGGGGACAGCUGCAGCAACUCCACCAUCGAACUAUCUUCCCUAAAAGGCAAUCCAUUCUGUGGGUUCACUGUGGAUAUAUAUCUUAUUUACCUCUAUAGAGUUUGAUUUGACUCAUGGAUUCACACACAGCUUCUUCGAAACACAUCCAUUACAAUAAAAAUAGAAACCACUUC